AAUAUUGGACAAUGGGGGCAACCCUGAUCCAGCCAUGCCGCGCGUGUGAAGAAGGUCUGCGGAUUGUAAAGCACUCUCAGUUGGGAGGAAGGGCUUUAGGUUAAUACCCUGAAGUCGUGACGUUACCGACAGAAUAAGCACCGGCUAACGCUGUGCCAGCCGCCGCGGUAAUACAGAGGGUGCAAGCGUUAAUCGGAAUUACUGGGCGUAAAGCGCGCGUAGGUGGUUCAGUAAGAUGGGUGUGAAAUCCCCGGGCUUAACCUGGGAACUGCUUUCAUAACUGCUGAGCUAGAGUACGGUAGAGGGUAGUGGAAUUUCCUGUGUAGCGGUGAAAUGCGUAGAUAUAGGAAGGAACACCAGUGGCGAAGGCGACUACCUGGACUGAUACUGACACUGAGGUACGAAAGCGUGGGUAGCGAACA
rnacentral:rRNA from 1 species